rnacentral:rRNA from 1 species
UACAGAGGGUGCGAGCGUUAAUCGGAUUUAUUGGGCGUAAAGCGCGUGCAGGCGGCCUGUUAAGUCCGUUGUGAAAGCUCCCGGCUCAACUGGGAGAGGUCUUCGGAUACUGGCAGGCUCGAGGGAGGUAGAGGAAGGUGGAAUUCCCGGUGUAGUGGUGAAAUGCGUAGAGAUCGGGAGGAACACCAGUGGCGAAGGCGGCCUUCUGGGCAGUGGCUGACACUGAGGCGCGACAGCGUGGGGAGCAAACAGG